rnacentral:lncRNA from 1 species
GUUCGGCGCGUCUCCCACGCGAGGCGGCAAUCGGCAGUAUGGCCGAGCAGCGUGGCCGCACGAAGCUCUUCUAGACUCAGACCUUCGUGCGUGCUGCGAACAUGGCCUCUUAGUCCUGUCUUGAGAUACGACUUUCUCACCCGGAAGCGACGAACGGAACGCGCUUCCGGCCUGAUGAGGCUGAGGCCGUGGAGCCUCCUCCCGCGAGCUCGGAGCGGGCCAGCGGGACCAGAGUGCCGCCUCAGGGCCACUCCCCUCGGGCCGCCGGCCCUGGCUGUUCUCACCUCCCGCCCUGGUACAGUUUGGAUCAGACCUACAGUGUACCCGGGUCACACGCUGGGAAGCGGCAGUUUUGUGGACCCGGCGACCGCCAGGUUGCUCCACCAUCACCAGUACCUCCAGAACGUCCUCGCUGUCCCAGCUUCUAAGUACUCCUUGUGCCUCCCUUACGGGCAGGACAGCUCCUCGGUUGGAUGUCAGCGCUAGAGAGAGCGUGGCGGCACCGGUAAGCGCGGGCGUGCGGGUCACCCGGAGCGGCUCCCACCCCGUACCCUGUGCUCUCCGCCCAGCUCUUUCCAGCUGCCGGGGGCACUGGUGCAAGCGAAGGCCUGAAGGUCAGAUCUACGGCGGCCAGAGGCACAGACACGCUCGGGGGCCUUUCCUCGGACAGGUGGUGAGUCAGGAGCUGUGCUGGACGGGUUCAUUGUGUCCCCUAAGUGGGGGCUCACGACUGCCACUUGGGGCUGCUGCACAGAUGCCGGUUUUUAAAGGCACGCGAGGACUCAGACCCGCGGGUGAGAUGUUUUCCCGCUGCCGUGGGGAAGAACACCGGAAGCUUCAGCGGGCGGCAGCUUCAUGCGCCAUGGGCGCCCGGGGGUUGGUUGGUUACCUGGGUGUUUGUGCAGGGCGCUUUGGAUGGCGUCUGUGUUUAAUGGUAACUGAGUAG